rnacentral:rRNA from 1 species
ACUCAAAUGAAUUGACGGGGACUCGCACAAGCGGUGGAUCAUGUGGCUUAAUUCGUCGGUAAGCGAAAAACCUUACCAGGGUUUGAAACUCAGCUGUAAUCUCUUGGAAACUUGAGACCUCCGCAAGGACAGUUGGGCAGGUGAUGCAUGGCCGUCGUCAGUUCGUGGCUUGAGCUGUUCCGUUAAGUCGGGAAACGAACGCAACCCUUAUUGCCUGUUACAAGUGUCAGGCGAGACUGCUCCCUUACGGGAGAGGAAGGUAGGGAUGACGCCAGGUCAGCAUGUCCCUCUGAUACCCUGGGCUGCACACGUGAUACAAUGGUUAAUUCAACGGGAAGCAAUAGCGUAAGCUGGAGCAAAUCCUUAAAGUUAAUCUCAAUCCAGAUUGAGGUCUGCAACUCGACCUCAUGAAGCCGGAAUCGCUAGUAAUCGCUGAUCAGCAUCGCAGCGGUGAAUACGUUCUCGAGUCUUGUACACACCGCCCGU